ACGAACGCUGGCGGCGUGCUUAACACAUGCAAGUCGAACGGAAAGGCCCUGCUUUUGUGGGGUGCUCGAGUGGUGAACGGGUGAGUAACACGUGAGUAACCUGCCCUUGACUUUGGGAUAACUUCAGGAAACUGGGGCUAAUACCGGAUAGGAGCUCCUGCUGCAUGGUGGGGGGUGGAAAGUUUCGGCGGUUGGGGAUGGACUCGCGGCUUAUCAGCUUGUUGGUGGGGUAGUGGCUUACCAAGGCUUUGACGGGUAGCCGGCCUGAGAGGGUGACCGGCCACAUUGGGACUGAGAUACGGCCCAGACUCCUACGGGAGGCAGCAGUGGGGAAUAUUGCACAAUGGGCGGAAGCCUGAUGCAGCAACGCCGCGUGCGGGAUGACGGCCUUCGGGUUGUAAACCGCUUUCGCCUGUGACGAAGCGUGAGUGACGGUAAUGGGUAAAGAAGCACCGGCUAACUACGUG
rnacentral:rRNA from 1 species